CUGGUGGCGAGCGGCGGACGGGUGAGUAAUGCCUAGGAAUCUGCCUGGUAGUGGGGGAUAACGCUCGGAAACGGACGCUAAUACCGCAUACGUCCUACGGGAGAAAGCAGGGGACCUUCGGGCCUUGCGCUAUCAGAUGAGCCUAGGUCGGAUUAGCUAGUUGGUGAGGUGAUGGCUCACCAAGGCGACGAUCCGUAACUGGUCUGAGAGGAUGAUCAGUCACACUGGAACUGAGACACGGUCCAGACUCCUACGGGAGGCAGCAGUGGGGAAUAUUGGACAAUGGGCGAAAGCCUGAUCCAGCCAUGCCGCGUGUGUGAAGAAGGUCUUCGGAUUGUAAAGCACUUUAAGUUGGGAGGAAGGGCAUUAACCUAAUACGUUAGUGUUUUGACGUUACCGACAGAAUAAGCACCGGCUAACUCUGUGCCAGCAGCCGCGGUAAUACAGAGGGUGCAAGCGUUAAUCGGAAUUACUGGGCGUAAAGGGAGCGUAGGUGGCUCGAUAAGUCAGAUGUGAAAUCCCCGGGCUCAACCUGGGA
rnacentral:rRNA from 1 species